UCUUUUCAUAGCCAUUAGAUUCAAAUAUAAAGUACUAGAUUAGUUCAGAUUGAAUGGUCCAACUUUGAAUAGUGCAGUCCACGCUACUACGUACACUAAUAGUUGUUGUCCCGCUUCAUUUCUCUUCCAUUCGCACAUACCAGAAACAAAUCUUCCUUCACUUUCUUGCUUUCUGAUCCUUUGCAUUGCUUUUAGCUUUGAAGAUUUGACUUGCACCAUCACUUUACUUCAGCAUGGUUGUGUUUGACACAGAAGGUUGAAGUUUACAAGACUUGCUUGUCUUCCUUUCGUCUCAUUGUGCUGUGAUUGUUGCUCAUUCCGGUGGAAAAAAAUGCAGUAGGCUUUCAGUUGCUUCUUUCCUUAUUGCUUGGAGUUGCAACUUCCACACAAUUUCAAAUGACAGAAACAUAACCCCAGCUAAGUGUCAAUCUGAAAAGGCAUAUUGGACGUAGAGGUAGACCCAUGGGGCUAAGGACAGGAUUUGCCUUCUGUGCACUCAAUUCAGGUUGGCCAGGUCUUUCUGGAAAAGCAUGUUCCCUCUGGCUGCUUCCUGAAGGACCAGCAGCAGGUGGAAUGGAUAGAUACUGUCCUGUAUAUGCUGGAGCAGAAGGAGACAACUGAGAUAUUCCAUAAAUAUGGCCAGCUCCCACAGCAGGUUGAGUACUUGCAGUGGCUGCAAGACUUACAGGCUCAAAUGCACAUACUGGGUAAGAAGUCCAAGCCGGAAGAGGAACCAUUGCAGGGGGAAGCAGCAUAGGACCAUAUGUACCAGGGAUGUAUGAACCUGGAAGUAGAGUAGGCCUUGGAACUGGCCAGUUUCCAGCCACUACAACAUACUGUUGAGAUGAUUGCACAGAAGGAGAUUGCACAGGAGGAUAAAUAGCAGGCGCGGGUUCAGUUGCUGGUGCAGGCAGAGGUCCAGGUCCAGGUCCAGGCGCUGGUGCUGGCAUUUGAACACCGGCUGGCUGUGGAUGAUGAUAUUUACAGGAAGCACCAAAUUUGCAAUUUCCAGUCCUCAUGUAGAACUACAAGAUUUAGUGAAGAACAGAAGCAACGUGAGAUAGAAAUUCACAACAAAAGCACAUGAUCGUGCCUCUGCAACAUCAACUACAUAAGCUAUCUACUAUAUUUGCCAUGCAGCUCUCGGUUUGUCUCUUUACUAUUUUACUCAUUGUCUCUGUCACUGCUUAUUUCACCAACAUAUGUUAUUAGUGAAGCAUAUUCUGACAGUGUACAUGGUUAAAAUUGCUGAGUUAUUAGUGAAGCAUAUUUUGUAUCUUUUGUCUGUUAUAUGCUUUCAUUGCUCGUUUUUACGUAAACUUUUGCUGUUUCAACUUUCAAUAUAAAGCUGUUAUAUUCAAUAAGUUUAUUUAUUAUCAGGCAAUAUCUUCUGCUUUUCAUUAUUCGGUUCCACAGUUGAUGAACCAAACGGGUAAAGUUGUUGAACCACAUUCAUGUGGUUAUGCAGCAAAAACAGCUGAUGUUAGCUAUCUUAGCAACCAUCAGUGUGCUGGUAUAGGCAUGAGGAACAAUAGUUCUGCUUGCACACCAGAACAACUGAUUACAUUGCCUACUGAAUAUGUAGGCAGAUCACAAACCAAAAAAACAGCUAAGCUUGAGCUGUUCUUCAUCACAGAAACAUACACAAUCUACUCUGUUGUCUGGUACAAUUAGCAGAGAGUACAGUCUUGUACAUAAUCAAUCUUCUCAUUCAAGCUCUACUACAAAUUUGAGUAGAGAUAUGCUUAUAUUGCAAGCGGCUCCUUCGAGUAGCAAUACUUCUAUCCUUCUGGAUAGACAUCUAGGUAGUGUCUUCUAUUCUCAUGAAGAUUGUCCUUCAGUUUCCAUAGAUUCUCAUGGUACUAAUAUCUGAACUUCUACAUAUGACUUUUAGUAGUCAAUAGUGAACCUGUUGAAGAAUUAGCUAAUCAAAGAAAUCAUGGUCAAAAUAAAAGAAAACGUCCAGGUUAGCUUUGACCUUUAUUACUGAUUUAAAUUCAUAGUAUUAGUAGGCAUUUAAAUUAUUGGUUACUUCAGGUAUUAUUGCUUUUGGUUACUUCAGGUAUUGUUAUUGGUUAC